ACCACAGCCAUAUCACCAUGCAGCCCAAGACUGGUUGCCCACUGAAGCUAAGCAGGGUUGAGCCUGGUUAGUACCUGGAUGGGAGACCUCCUGGGAAAACUAGGUUGCUGCUGGAA
rnacentral:rRNA from 1 species